rnacentral:rRNA from 1 species
AGAGUUUGAUCAUGGCUCAGAUUGAACGCUGGCGGCAGGCCUAACACAUGCAAGUCGAGCGGUAGAGAGAAGCUUGCUUCUCUUGAGAGCGGCGGACGGGUGAGUAAUGCCUAGGAAUCUGCCUAGUGGUGGGGGAUAACGUUCGGAAACGGACGCUAAUACCGCAUACGUCCUACGGGAGAAAGCGGGGGACCUUCGGGCCUCGCGCCAUUAGAUGAGCCUAGGUCGGAUUAGCUAGUUGGUGAGGUAAUGGCUCACCAAGGCGACGAUCCGUAACUGGUCUGAGAGGAUGAUCAGUCACACUGGAACUGAGACACGGUCCAGACUCCUACGGGAGGCAGCAGUGGGGAAUAUUGGACAAUGGGCGAAAGCCUGAUCCAGCCAUGCCGCGUGUGUGAAGAAGGUCUUCGGAUUGUAAAGCACUUUAAGUUGGGAGGAAGGGUAGUAACUUAAUACGUUGCUACUUUGACGUUACCGACAGAAUAAGCACCGGCUAACUUCGUGCCAGCAGCCGCGGUAAUAC